GCAGUCAUGGCCGAUUGGUUAAGGCGAUGGACUAAAAAUCCAUUGGGGUCUCCCCGCACAGGUUCAAAUCCUGUCGACUGCG
rnacentral:tRNA from 1 species